CCCGGCGUGCCUAACACAUGCAAGUCGAACGUGAAAAGGGGCAACCCUGAGUAAAGUGGCGUACGGGUGAGUAACACGUAGGUAAUCUACCUGAGAGUCUGGAAUAACCGGCCGAAAGGCUGGCUAAUACUGGAUAGAGCGAAGGAACUCGUAAAGAGUUUUUCGGGAAAGGGAGGAGGCAACUCCCCUCGCUUUCAGAUGAGCCUGCGUCUCAUUAGGUAGUUGGUGAGGUAACGGCUCACCAAGCCUUUGAUGGGUAGCUGGUCUGAGAGGAUGAUCAGCCACACUGGAACUGAAACACGGUCCAGACUCCUACGGGAGGCAGCAGUGCGGAAUCUUGCGCAAUGGACGAAAGUCUGACGCAGCCACGCCGCGUGAGUGAAGAAGGCCGUCGGGUUGUGAAGCUCUGUCGGAGGGGACGAAAAUGCUUAGGGUGAAUAGCCCUAGGAACUGACGGUACCCUUAAAGGAUGCACCGGCUAACUCUGUGCCAGCAGCCGCGGUAAUACAGUGGGUGCAAGCG
rnacentral:rRNA from 1 species